AACGCACCUUGCGCUCCUUGGCAUUCCGAGGAGCAUGCCUGUUUGAGUGUCAUGUUAACUCUCAGCCCUUAGGGGUUGGAAUGUGGAUGCCUGCGGGACCCGAUUUCCGCUCGUCUCAAAUGCAUUAGCGGGGUUUCCGGCUUAGCGAACCGUUGCUGGCGUUUAGUAAUGCUUGCGCCGCGCGGGGUUCAGCGGCACGCCUCUCCCGCUCACCAGCAGACGCUUUGGCGUCAAUGCUUGACUUCUGGCCUCAAAUCAGGUAGGACUACCCGCUGAACUUAA
rnacentral:misc_RNA from 1 species